GAAAAUCAGUAGAAGCGAUUCGUUUUUUUCGAUUGAAUCAAAGAAGAAUGAUGACAGUUCUGGAGUGGAAUUGCUGAAACCAAACACGAAUUUAGCACCACAAAGGGUUAUGGAAUUUGGGAAUAGAUUCAGAGGUAACAAUGGAAAUGUAGCUCCGGUGUUUGAACAACAAAAUAAAGAUGAUAAUAUUGUACCUCCACCAUCGAACACUGAAUCACCGCCAUCACCUCCACAAGUUGAUGAUAAUUUGAUUGUUCCUAUACCUUCUCCGACUGAUGAAAUAGCUGUUAUUGUUGUCCCUUUAAACUCGACGAAUGCCACUAUACACCUGAUGAAUUCACCAGCUCCCUCUGUUUCACAUAGGCGUGUUGACACCGAUGAUAAUUCGACUGUAUUGGCUAGUUCUCAUAAUCCGAAUGAAGCAACAGGGCUAUUAAGAAAUGAUCAUGCCUUGUCAGGGAAUGGCUCCACGAUGACCAAAAGAACUCCUGCUGCGAAAAAAGCGUCUUUGGAAGGUGUAGUGUCAAUAUCUGAAAUGACUAAUAUGUUGCUUCGGAGUAGUCACCCGUCAAACCUUUUAACGAAUCCGGCGUGGUCUUCAGCUGGUGAUAAAGAAUUGCUUAGUGCAAAAUCACAGAUUGAAACUGCACCUAACAAUAUCAGUGAUGUUGGCCUAUAUGCACCAAUUUAUCACAAUGUUUCAAAGUUUAAAAGGAGUUAUGAGUUAAUGGAACAGAAUCUCAAGAUUUACAUCUAUAAGGAGGGCAAGAGACCCGUAUUCCAUCAACCAAAGCUCAAGGGCAUCUAUGCUUCAGAAGGUUGGUUCAUGAAGCAGUUAAAAGCGAGCAAGGAGUUCCUCACCGAUGACCCAAACAAAGCACACCUGUUUUACUUGCCUUUUAGUUCUCAAACAUUGGAAGAAGUGGUGUACGUGCCUGGUUCUCACAGCUUCGAUAAAUUAAAAGCAUUUUUGAACAAGUACCUCGAUUUGAUCAAGGGAAGAUAUCCUUUCUGGAACAGAACACAAGGAGCUGACCAUUUUCUUGUUGCUUGCCACGACUGGGCCCCGGAAGAAACUAGGCGUGAGAUGGCCAAUUGCAUAAAGUCUUUAUGCAAUGCUGAUUUAAGAGAAGGAUUCAAGUUUGGCAAGGAUGCUUCUCUACCAGAAACAAACAUUGUCUCAAGUAAUCCCUCGAGAAGCCUUGGGGGAAAUCGUCCUAGCCAACGAAAAUUCCUUGCUUUCUUUGCUGGAAAUAUGCAUGGGUAUGUCCGUCCUAUUCUUUUAAAGUAUUGGCAAGACAAAGAUCCAACGAUGAAAAUCUAUGGCCGAAUGGACAACCA
rnacentral:misc_RNA from 1 species